rnacentral:ncRNA from 1 species
UCCUGACUGAUUGUUCCAUGUGGAACAUCAGACCGACCCAAGACAGGAGAUCCUCAUG